AGGUUGAGGAACAACAGACCCAACCGGCCUUGCUUCUACACUACAGCCUGUAGACACCCUAUCCUCCACAACAAGUUCUGACAUCUAUGAGUGUGACAGGGGAGAACCUAGUGAUCCUGCUGACUGGCCUACAGACACGGUGAGGACUCAGUUAGUCAAUAGAGGACCAUAUCAUACCAAUGUAGAUUUCUCCUUUCCCAAACAACAGGAUGGACGAAGGACAAAUUUUGUUUUCAUUUAUUUGGCAGGGACAGCGCAGAAUGUAUAAAUGAAGGGGAAAUUAAAGCCACAUGGAUAAU